UACGAAGGGGGCUAGCGUUGCUCGGAAUGACUGGGCGUAAAGGGCGCGUAGGCGGAUGGUUCAGUCAGACGUGAAAUUCCUGGGCUUAACCUGGGGGCUGCGUUUGAGACGGUUCAUCUAGAGUUUGGAAGAGGGUCGUGGAAUUCCCAGUGUAGAGGUGAAAUUCGUAGAUAUUGGGAAGAACACCGGUGGCGAAGGCGGCGACCUGGUCCUUGACUGACGCUGAGGCGCGAAAGCGUGGGGAGCAAACAGG
rnacentral:rRNA from 1 species